AUUGAACGCUGGCGGCAGGCUUAACACAUGCAAGUCGAACGAGUGGCGGACGGGUGAGUAAUGCAUGGGAAUCUGGCUUAUGGAGGGGGAUAACGACGGGAAACUGUCGCUAAUACCGCGUACCAUAGGAUCGGCCCAAGUGGGAUUAGGUAGUUGGUGGGGUAAUGGCUUACCAAGCCGACGAUCCCUAGCUGGUCUGAGAGGAUGACCAGCCACACUGGGACUGAGAGACGGCCCGGACUCCUACGUGAGGCAGCAGUGGGGAAUAUUGCGCAAUGGGGGCAACCCUGACGCAGCCAUGCCGCGUGAAUGAAGAAGGCCUUCGGGUUGUAAAGUUCUUUUGGUAUAGAGGCGUUAAAUACAGAAUAAGCACCGGCUAACUCCGUGCCAGCAGCCGCGGUAAUUC
rnacentral:rRNA from 1 species